rnacentral:lncRNA from 1 species
UUCUUAUUUUAUAAAUCUGAUGUGCUUGAUGAAUGUCUGAAUUCCCUGAACUGGUCAUUUAUUCUGUUGACUAUUAUGAACAAGGUGAUAAGGAAAUUCAUUCUACUAGUUUUCUUUCACAAAUAUGGAGAUGCAUUACAGAUCUAGAAUGAAGCCUGAAGCCCUGUCAGUGAUAGUAGAGGUGGUCCCUGGCUUCCAAAUAUGUCCUCCUGGAGUCACUAUGGUGAAGAUCUGGUUUUUGCAUCUGCAUACGUUUUACUGGGCAGCAAUUCUGCUAAGUCAUUCCAGAAUCAGAACUAUAGAGUUAAAAAUACCAGAAGGCACAGUGGAAGAAGCAGACUGAAAAAGGAGAACUUGUGAGAGGAAUGAAAAUGCAUACAUUCUUCUGAGCAAAGGGGUUAGCCAAGCAGAAGGGAAGACUGUUCAUUGAGAUUGUCAAAGGAGUUCUGUCAGCCUGUGAACUGAAUGGACACAGUCAAGUUGAUCCUCACUUUUGGGCACAAAUUACAAGUAAGUUUCUGAGUAUCUACAGUACUUCCUAAAUCUAUUUGUCACAAGGCUGAGAUCAGGGUUUACCUUAUCUGUGCAUUUGAAACAAAUGAAAUAAAAC